AACUAUGCGAGCGUGUAUCUGUUUGUAAGUAGCUUGUUUGUAUAAAACCCAACAAUAACGUAAUAGGGGGCAAGAUGGUCAUCGCAACCACGCUCUUUCGCACCGCCAGGCUUUCUUUAAAACGCCCUGUGCCGGGGGGAACGCUUUUUUGCCAGGCACGCCCGAGGAAGCCAGGAGCUGAAGGAAGGAAUGGGACAGUCCCGCCUCCGACCCCACAGCGGCCUGCGGAGGAGAUGCAACAACAUUGGCGAAAUUUUUGUUUUAACACUGGAAGAUUUCAUGGGAUUGCCCAGGGUCAGCAGAAGAUGCACAGGCUUAUUUGCUGAGGCAACACAUGGAGUAUGAAUGAAGCACCUUCCAGUUACUGUAUGUUC